AUGGCUGCCCCCCUGCCCCCGCCCCGCCCCGCUGGUCCCUUGGGCGUCCUGGUGGGGGUGGUCGGCUUGCGGUCAGCAUUCGCCAGGUGCCACUGCGAGGCUGACUGUCCAGCCCUUUCCCUGCAGGUGACCACCAUGUCGGUGAGGGUGCGGUUCCUGUCCUCCGGGGACGCGGGGACCGUGGGGGUCAUGGGCCGGAGCGCCUCCUUCGCGGGCUUCAGCAGCGCCCAGAGCCGGAGGAUCGCGAACUCAGUGAGGUCUCGGGUGCCUGCGAAAUCCUCCAAGACGUACGGCACACUGCGGAAGGGGUGCAUCUGCUCCGACCCCAAGCCCCAGCAAGUGAAGAAGAUCUUCGAAGCGCUGAAGAGGGGGCUCAAGGAGCAUCUGUGCGCCCAGCAGGCUGAGCUGGAUUACCUGACAGGACGCCACAAGGACACCCGCAGGAAUUCCAGGCUGGCUUUCUAUUAUGACCUGGACAAGCAAACGCGCUCAGUGGAGAGGCACAUUCGGAAGAUGGAGUUUCACAUCAGCAAGGUGGACGAGCUCUACGAGGGCUAUAGUAUCCAGUGCCGCCUGCGCGACGGCGCCUCCAACAUGCAGCGAGCCUUCUCCCGGUGCCCGCCCAGCCGCGCCUCCCGAGAGAGCCUGCAGGAGCUGGGCCGCAGCCUGCAGGAGUGCGCCGAGGACAUGUGGCUCAUCGAGGGGGCCCUGGAGGUUCACCUGGGCGAGUUCCACGUCAAGAUGAAAGGCUUGGUGGGCUACGCACGUCUUUGUCCUGGAGACCAGUACGAGGUGCUCCUGCGUCUGGGCCGCCAGCGCUGGAAGCUGCGGGGCCGCAUCGAGUCGGACGACAGCCAGACCUGGGACGAGGAGGAGAAGGCCUUCAUCCCCACCCUACACGAGAACUUCGAGAUCAAGGUGACAGAGCUGCGCGGCCUGAGCUCGCUGGCGGUGGGCGCGGUGACCUGUGACAUCACCGACUUCUUCACCACCCGGCCGCAGGUCAUCGUGGUGGACAUCACAGAGCUGGGCACCAUCAAGCUGCAGCUGGAGGUGCUGUGGAACCCAUUUGAUACCGAGAGCUUCCUGGUGUCGCCCAGCCCCCCGGGCAAGUUCUCCAUAGGGAGCAGAAAGGGCUCCUUAUACAACUGGACACCCCCAAACACCCCCAGCUUCCGGGAGAGAUACUACCUGUCUGUUGUGCAGCCGCGGGCACAGCAGGCCUUGCCGCUGGACAGGCCAAGGGCCCCCUCCGUCCUCAGCUGCCUGUCUGACGGCGACCUUCGGGGCCCCGGCCUGCGGAGCCGCAGUCAGGAACUGCCCGAGAUGGACUCCUUUAGCUCCGAGGACCCCCGAGACACGGAGACCAGCACGUCAGCGUCCACCUCGGAUGUGGGCUUCCUGCCCUCGGCCAUGGGCCCCAACACCUCCAUCGAAGAGGAGGCCCAAGAGGACCCCCCACCCCUGGGCCUCCUGCCGGACAUGCUGCACCUGGCGGAGGGCUCGUUUGUGGAGCAGCCGGGCUGGAGAGACCUGGGGGUGGGAACCCCCGACCUGUCACGGGGCUCCCCCUUCCACAACGAAGCGCUCCCGGGGAGCCAGGGAGGCCCCGACGAAGGAGACCCCGAGGACACGGAGGGUGGGCCUGCACUGUCCCUCGAGAGGCCUCUGCAGGAGGUGCUGGACUUACUGAGGUCCGUGGACCCUGCCCCGCCGCAGCUCCGGGAGCUGGAGUACCAGAUCCUCACCUUCAGGGAGCGGCUGAAGCCCCGCAGAGCUCACCGGGAGCACGCGUCCACUGAGAGCCUAAUGGAGUGCAUCCUGGAAAGCUUCUCCUUCCUCAACGCCCACAUCGCCCCCCACGAGCUGGCCCUUUUUGGGGGCUCCCAGGGCCUGCGAAAGGACAAGAGUCCACCUCCACCACCAUCGCUGAGAGCGUCGUCCAGGGAGCUCACAGCUGGUGCCCCAGAGCUGGACGUGCUGCUCACGGUUCACCUCCAGGUCUGCAAAGCACUGCUGCAGAAACUGGGCUCCCCUAAUCUGUCGCGGAUGGUCCAGGAGUGCCUUCUGGAAGAAGCUGCGCAGCAGAAGCAGGUUCUAGAGACACUUUCUGUGCUUGACUUUGAGAAGGUCAGCAAAGCGAUGUCCAUUGAGGAGAUCCUCCCACAGGCCACGCGGAGGAGGGGCUGCCUGAAGCUCUGGAGGGGCUGCACGGGGCCCGGUACCACCCUGUCCUGCCCGGGGACAGCACUGCUGGACCAGCUCAAGAAGACGUUUCUGCACAGAGUCAGGGGGAAAUACCCGGGACAGCUAGAGAUAGCCUGUCGCAGGCUCCUGGAGCAGGUGGUCAGCUGCGGCGGGCUGCUGCCUGGAGCCGGGCUCCCCGAGGAACAGACCGUCACCUGGUUCCAGUUUCACAGCUACCUUCGGAGGCAGAGCGUCUCCGACCUGGAGAAGCACUUCGCCCAGCUCACCAAGGAAGUAACACUCGCGGAGGAACUGCAGUGCAGGGCCCAGGCCAGGACAGUCAGGAAGCUGCAGGGGAAGCGGCUGGGCCAGCUCCAGCCCCUGCCACAGACACUGAGGGCCUGGGCGCUGCUCCAGCUGGAUGGACCCCCCCGGGCGUGCAGAGCAGCCAGCGCCCGCCUGGCUGACGCGGCCAGAAACAAGAGCUUUCGGGAAAAGGCUUUGCUCUUCUACACCAACGCCCUGACUGAAAAUGAUGCACAACUCCAGCAAGCUGCAUGCGUGGCGCUAAGACAUCUCCGGGGCGUGGAAAGCAUCGAUCAGAUCGCCAGCCUGUGCCAGUCUGACGUGGAGGCCGUGCGUGUGGCCGCCCGGGAAACCACGCUGUCAUUUGGGGAGAAAGGCCGCUUGGCUUUUGAGAAGAUGGACAGACUCUGCUCAGAACAGAGAGAUGUGGCCUUUGGCCAGGAGGCAGAUGUUGAAAUCACAAUCUUUUAAAAAGCCUCGGCUGAUGGGCUCACAU
rnacentral:lncRNA from 1 species